AACUGCAAGUUCGGACAAACUCAUUCGCUCUCUCUCUCUCUCUCUCUUUCUCUCUCUCUGCCUCCCUCUGUGUGCUUCCAAACAUAAAGCCUCUCUUUGCGAAACGGUGUCUCUCUUUACCUCUACUACUGCUAUCGAUCCGUUGGGAGAAGCUAACGUCUAUCUCUGCUACUGUUAUCGAUCCGUUGGGAGAAGCUACGGCUCUCUCUGCUAAAGUUCCUCUGAGAUUGUUUGAGGUUCUCUAUUUUCUCUCUCUGCUCUUAAAUGUAAAAAUGAUUUUGGGGUUGAGGAGCAGUAAAGAAAAUUUGUCAGUUUUUAGAGUUUAGGAAGGCGUCGUGGCAUUUGGAGGAAACAAUGCGACGUGUUUCACCAUUUUUGACUAUGCUAAAACGGUUGGAGAAUACGGGAAGAGAACUAUUCAAAUUUUGGACCAGAUAGGAUUCUCCUGCCCAACAAUUAACAAUUAAUCCUGUCAGAUGCCCCUCCUUAUUGUCCAUUCAACUCAGAAUCCUAGGAGGCCAAAUGGGUUUAUUAAGAAGGAGACCUCAAGCCAAAGUGGUAUAUGUAUGUUCUGCAGAGGCCUAUGUGGGGGAGAAGAAGAAGAAAAGAAGAAAUGAGGAAGAGGGAGAGAAAGGCGUAAGCAGGGGAUGGAUCACCGAGAGUUGCAGGCGAGGUUGGCAAAAGGGGGAAGAAGAAGAAAGAAGAAA